AUGAUUGGUGAGAAGACGUCCUGGUCAAUCACCACAUCUGAUCAAUUUCUGUCUGUGGCGAGAAGAAGUGUGCGGGGAGUAGCACGGGCGGAGGUCAAUUGGCCGGAUCCGGAGCUCCAGUGCCUGAAUCGAGGAGCUGGAAGGCUGAGGCAGGAGGAGGAGCACAGGCUGCACUGCUGCUGCUGUUGGUCAGUGCGGGGAGGAGCACGGACGGAGGUCAAUUGGCCGGAUCCGGAGCUCCAGUGCCUGAAUCAAGGAGCUGGAAGGCUCAGGCAGGAGGAGGAGGAGCACGGGCGGCGCUGUUGCUGGUCGGUGCGGGGAGGAGCAUGGGCGGCGCGAAGGCCAGUAGUCGCGGGGGGCGCGACGGCCAGGAGUCGCGGGCGGCUGGAGGCUGUGGCGGACGGCGAGGGAGCUGCGUACGAGUUUGGGCUCUUGAUUGGAGCGGAGGAAGGCGGCCGACGAGGGAGCUGCGACCGGCGCGGACGGACGCCGGAGCUGCAGCAGUGGGAUGGAGCCUGGCGGAGGGGAGGAGCGAUGGAAAUAGAGAAAAGAGUAGAUGGGCCGGCCCAGCGCGAAGGGUGGAAGCUUGGCGCGCGCGGUAAUCCCCCAGGACGAGGCACAUCGAUGCAUCCACUGCUCCCCUAUAAGUACACGGUCUCCUGGUUUACAAGAGGCUGCUCGCUCAUCAUCGACCAUUCAUCCAUCCAUCGCUCCUGCACAUACAUACGCUCCAACACAACUAGCCUGCAACCACGCCGCUGGCCGUUCGUCUGCUCACCGUCGUCGCCGCCGUUCGUCCGCUCACCGUCAUCGUCGCCGCUGGUCGCCUGCUCGUCUUCGUCGUCGAUGUCGGUCGUCCGCUUGCCAUCGUCUACGCACUCGUCGUCGUUCGCCUGCUCGUCAUCGUCAUCCCCGCCGGUCGUCCGCUUGCUGUCGUCGUCUACUCGCCGUCCGCUCGUCGUCUACAACACUAGCCCCCGGCCGUCCGACAUCCACAAGCUACACAUACCGGCUGCUCAUCUGCAUCACCACUUCACAAGUAUGGAGGGCCAAGUGCAGCAGUUUGUGACCCUUCGCUUCGGUGACCUUUGGCUUAAUGUGCCAAUUGGUCCUAUCGUGACCUCACUAAGUGAAAGUUGGAAGACUGCUGCUGCAUCUCCAGUUGUACCAGAUCAAGAAGAAGUCACUUCUCCAUCAACGGAGGGGUUCACACCUGUUUUGUCAAAGUCUGCAAAGAGGAAAAUGAGGGCUGCUAGAAAGAGGGUUGCUCAGAGUUCUACAGGAAGGGUUACUCAUGCUCCAGUGUCAGUAACAAAAGGAAAGAUAGUUGAAGAAGAACCAUCCGACCGCGAGCAAUCCAAGGACAAGGGAAAGAAAAAGAUGGUAGAGACACUCAACUCCAAGCUACCUGAGAAAAGAGGUGGCGUUGCGGUCAUAUUGCCGUCAGCGUCAUCUUCAACAGGAAGGCCCACCAAUGCUCGGAAUAUACUUCGAGCCGAUGCUCCUGAGUUUGUCCCCUCACUGGCCCAUAAACCUAGUGAGGAACACUUGGGAAUAAUGCAAAAACGUCCUGUGGAAUGGAAGGGAGUGUGCCUUACAUCUGGUGACCUCAAAACAGGCCACAUAGAUCCAGCAUCUGCACCAUCAGUUCCUCUGUUUGAAGAAACACCCAUCUUACGAGAGUCCUUUGAAGGUUCGUUUGAUCCAGUGCGACAUCAACGGCGACAGAGAAAUGUCCGUCAAUCUUGGAUUGAUCUUCCAGCUGCCGUAGAUCAAGAGGCGGCGAGCCGACACUGUUCUCAUGUGAGCAAGUCCGUCAAGCGGAGAUGGAAAAACACUCGCCCAAAGAUCCAAGUUCGGAAUCCAGAUGACUCAUAUGUUGUUAAAUGCAUAUGUCAAGCAAUAAGGUCACAACUUCCCGGUGCAUCGAGAUCACAAAAUGAUGAGGGUGGUGCCAUCAUGCGACUGGCGGAGGCCCUGGCCCAACAGCCUGAGUACCAAGAAUUCAUUCAGCAACAUCCUGAACAUCAAGAGUAUGUGAACCAAGCUGCUCAUGUUCGUUCAAGAAGGGUGGCGUACAAAGAAAGAGAAAGGGCAGUACGAGCAAGGUCUGGGUCAAGCAGAGUCCAAGGGGCAGAACACGCUCCAUCAGAUGAGGAUAGUCGGACUAAAGUGAACAUGUGGCUAUCAAAUCCAUCAAAUGAGGUGGCCACGAGCUUGUCUCCAUGGCCCUCUCGUAAGCAGACCAAGAAUAAAUCAUUCGAGGUGUUCCAAGCAAUGCCAGUUGGUGUCAGGGCGGCGUUAGACAAGACCAGCGAAACAUCCUCCACAUCAAUACAUUUUAAGAGGAAGAAGGCACGCAAAACUGUCAUAGAAGGUCCUCAUCAUAAGACACGAAGCCAAAAGGGUUCAGAUUAUGAAGAACUUGGGUCCAACUGUGGUGGGUCUUAUAAUCCCCUAUCGGACAGUACCCCUUGUCCUUCUGAAAAUGAGAUAGAACUCCGCCAUAGUGCAGAGCAUACAGAACAAGUCCUAGCUGCGAAUGAAACUCGUUCGGUUGAAGAGCAAUUAGCCAACCUUAUGGCAGCACUUCAGCAAAAGGAAGAUGAGCUCGCAGCCCUUUGUAUUCAUAUGAGCAAUAACCAGAACAAAGGAAAUGAAGGAGAUGGUGGUGCAAGUGCUAGCAGCCAACAUGGAGGAGCAGGGCUUAACCUUGAGGCGAUCCAAAGGAUGAUCGCUGAGGGGGUAAAAUACAACCAACAAUGGAGCACUUCUCCUAAGGCGGUUUGUACAGACAUUGUCUGGGCCUGCCUUCACCUGGUACAACAAGCUACCUCCAAGCUCUGUAAAACGUGGGAACAAAUGCAAAACUCAUUCCUCGAGCGGUUCUAUAGCACGGAGAGGAUGGUGGGCAUAACUGAGUUGACCCAAACUGAACAAGGGUUCAACAAGAAGGCGGCUGACUUCAUAAAUAGAUGGAGAAACCUAAGUCUUCACUGCCCACAGCCCAUCACCGAGCCAGAAGCAGUGCGGAUGUGCAUGAACAAUCUCCGCUCAGAAGUGGCUGUCCAGUUACAAGGAGUGAGGCCCCUCACAUUUGAAGAAUUAGCUUCAAAAUCCAUGGAUAUAGAAAAUUUUAUGCAGCUUGUCGCUCGUCUAAUAAAAACGACGUUCAACAAGCCUACAGACAAAGGUGGUCAACGUGAAAAGUUGCCGAUGAAACCCAAGUCUGCACAAGCCAUGGAGACGACAGCGGUAAAACCUCAGUUUCAGCCCGGAAGGGCACCUAUAGGGAACCAAGGACAGCGAGAUGCUCAGGUGGCUAGGAGGCCAACUCUCAGUGAACGAAAAAACAGGGAGUAUUCUUUUCUUGUAGAAGAAAUUGAUGAUCUUUUCACUGGUUUAAAGGAAUUGAGUCUAAUAGAACUUCCUAGGCCCAAAAGACCAGAAGAAGCUUCAAAAUUUAAUGACCCAAAUUUCUGUCACUACCAUCGCAUUUUGGGCCAUACACUCAAAGAUUGCUUUGUUGUGAAGAAUAUCAUCCAGAAAAUGAUUGAUGAGGGGGCUAUUGAUGCGAAUCUCCUCAAAAGCAUGACAAAGGGAAAGAAAAAGGCUUCAGCAAAUGUCGCCACCCUCCAGGAUGACGCGGUGAGUUCUACGUCUUCAAAUAUGAAGGGUAUUUAUGAUGAUGCAGUACUAAUUUCCAAAUAUGGAUGUUCUCCUAUGAUAAUUCUGGGCCUUGCCAAAUCGCAAGAUCAGCAUAAAGGAGAGGCUUACAUUCCCUUCAGCAAUGGUGCAGCCCAAGGUUGGGGGCCACGGCGGUCAAAACACCGUGUACUACCCCCCGUGAUGGAAGAAGCUCCUCCUUUGCGCUUCGCACCGAAGAUAUAUCAGCACACCACGAAGCGCAUGAGAAUACCAAGUGAAGAAUUCAACGUUCUCACUAUUGGUGUGUUCGAGGAUGAUGGCGAGUCUAUAUGCUUCCCCGACGAAGAUCCAUUAGAAGUUGACCAGAAAGGAACCAAAAGCAAGGAUGCAGUUCCAAAUGAUUCGACGGACCCUGCAUGUAGGGUGCCAGUCAAGUAUGAUGUAAUCACACAUUUGAAGAAAAUACCAGCUAUGCUUUCCGUGUAUGAUGCUUUGUGUCUUUCAUCUGAUAUGCGUAAGGCUCUUGUCACAGCACUCACGUUUCCUGAAGACUACAGAGUAGAAGUAUCUCAAACCGAGGUAGAAGCAUCUGAAGUCCUAAAUAUGACGUUCACAGAUGAGGAUAUGUUGUUAGGCCCCAAGAAGCACAACAUACCUCUUCUCAUGUUCGGCGAAAUUGAUGUAUUGCCAAUAAAUCGCAUAAUGAUAGAUGGUGGGUCAGCUAUAAAUCUGCUACCAUUGCGUACGCUCAAAAAGAUUGGAUAUUCCAAGGGAGAUUUGAGCAAGUCUAACGUGGUUAUACAUGGAUUUAACCAAUCAGGGCAAGAAGCUAUGGGUACCAUUUCGUUGGUUUUAAAAUUGGAUACAUUAUCCACAUACGUGAAGUUUCACGUGAUUGAUGUGGCCACAUCAUAUAAUGCAUUGCUUGGACGCCCGUGGUUACAUGAGAAUCAAGUUGUGCCAUCCACAUUACAUCAGUGUAUGAAAUAUAUAGAUCGGACAGAUGAUACAGUCAGAAUAUUUGCUAAUAAGAAGCCAUUCACAAUAGCUGAAUCUUUCUAUGCCGAUGCAAAGUUCUACUUCGAGCCUGUUGAUAAGGUGCAAAAGCCAAAAUCCUGGAAAAUACCCAAGUCAAAUGUGGUAGAAAAGGAGGCUGCAGAAUCCUUGUCAAAGAAAAAGACCUAUCAAUAUAUACCAAGCAACCAAAGGAAGAAGGGUGACCCAAUAUUUCGUGUCAUAGACAAAUCCCAUGACAUGAAAGAUGAUGAAUCUUUACCCAUUUCUUUGUAUGAUAACAGGGUCUUGUACAUGAUGCAGCAAAUGGGUUAUGACAUCGUCACUGGCCCGUCCCUAUGUGAUGGCCGGGGACAGCUAGCACCGUUCGAAAAUGUGUUAUCUCAAGAACAACUCGAAGCUCUGCACGAAGAUCGUGUUUUAAAACAAAUGAAGCAUGGGUUAGGAUAUGAGGUUUGUAUGGCUUCGGCUGAGUAUACAGACAUGACGGAAGCAUCUCCACAAAUGGAGGAUGGCAACCAAUGCAAUGUGGAUGACUUGGAAGAAAUAAAUAUUGGGAGACUAGCUAAAUGGGCGAUGCUUUUGUCACAAUUUGACAUCACGUAUAUACCGCAAAAGGCCAUAAAAGGCCAAGCUUUGGCUAACUUCCUUGCGGCACAUCCGAUCCCAGAUGAUUUUCCUAUAGAUGAUGACUUUCCAAAUGAGGACGUAUUCACCACGACGGUUACCAAAUCAACAUGGAAAAUGUACUUCGAUGGUGCUUGCCGGCAAUCUGGGUCAGGCGCCGGAGUCGUUUUCAUUACACCUAAUGAAGGGGUGAUCCCAUAG
rnacentral:rRNA from 1 species